CCAACUGGUCACUUCGUUCAUAAGUGAAGUACUGAGGAAAUGUUGGUUUUAUUUCUUCUACUUUCCAUUUUUGUUUAUCAUUGAUGCUUUGAAAAUUGUUUAAGCAAUAUUGGAAAUGAUUAUAGCCAUCACUUGUGAUAUUCAUAUCUCUUAAUGUAAAGUUGAACCUAUAAAGAAAAGCAAAAUAUUUCUAUUUUAAAUUGUCUCCAAUUAUAAUAGAUCACAUGUAUGAUGUCUAUUAAAUUAUAUAACAAGGAACACGGGGAUAGAGUAGGGCACACUGAUAAGAGGACAGACACAGACUGUCACAGCGUAAUACCCCGACACGCAGGAUUCAGGACAGCAAGGGACAAGACCGGAAAAACGGGCCUUAGAAUGGCCGAACCCUACAUUGGACAAGAAAAAGCGUACUCCGUAAUGAGCCAAGGUCAGGGUAACACAGAGACAGGGAAAAUGAAAACUAGCCGCGGUGAGGUACAUGGUAAUAAGUCAGAUAAAC